rnacentral:rRNA from 1 species
UACGUAGGGUGCGAGCGUUAAUCGGAAUUACUGGGCGUAAAGCGUGCGCAGGCGGUUUUGUAAGCCAGAUGUGAAAGCCCCGGGCUUAACCUGGGAAUGGCAUUUGGGACUGCAAGGCUUGAGUGCGGCAGAGGAGACUGGAAUUCCUGGUGUAGCAGUGGAAAUGCGUAGAUAUCAGGAGGAAUACCGAUGGCGAAGGCAGGUCUCUGGGCUGACACUGACGCUCAUGCACGAAAGCGUGGGGAGCAAACAGG